UACGUAGGGUGCAAGCGUUGUCCGGAAUUAUUGGGCGUAAAGAGCUCGUAGGCGGUUUGUCGCGUCUGCUGUGAAAACUCGGGGCUUAACCCCGGGCCUGCAGUGGGUACGGGCAGACUAGAGUGCGGUAGGGGAGACUGGAAUUCCUGGUGUAGCGGUGAAAUGCGCAGAUAUCAGGAGGAACACCGGUGGCGAAGGCGGGUCUCUGGGCCGUAACUGACGCUGAGGAGCGAAAGCAUGGGUAGCGAACAGG
rnacentral:rRNA from 1 species